rnacentral:tRNA from 2 species
GCCUCCUUAGCUCAGCUGGCCAGAGCACCGCUCUUGUAAAGCGUAGGUCGUCGGUUCGAAUCCGACAGGGGGCUCCG